GUCUUGCUUAGCAGCGUUAUUUAGGUCGACUCGGCAAAUGGCACCACAUAAUAGAACGGAGGAUGUCACAGCGCAGCGCGCGGUGGACCGCUCUCGGAAGUGGUACUACGUCACCAGCAGCUAAUGGAUCAACUCACGUUACUGGCAUGCCUUUCAAAUCAUCCUGUCGCUGGGCUGCAUGCCGUAUCAGACAGAGUGCUAGUAAGUAUUGUGUGUCUGAACUAAAAAAGCGUACAAUUCUUCCUCGAGCCACCUCGACCUGGAUAGGUCCUGCAUAAGGCCCUUCGAUAUGCGGAUGUGGAUGACAGUGUUGCACUGGGGCUUAGUCGAUUCGAAGUGAUGGGACACGAAUGGCCGCGUAGCUUGCGGCGGUGACAUCCAAACGUCGCCUCCGCUACGUAGGUCUACGGCAGGUGCUCUGAUUUCACCUUCAAAUGUGUGGCAUCCACAUUCAGGCGAUAGCAACGUCCAGCAAGGCGUCAAGGGGUCAUGGAAGGGGACAACUACGUACCACAGCAACUUCAGAUCAUGUGGCGCUAACCACACCUGCACCGCGCCGUACUUAGCUGCACAUAUCACAAGUAAGUUUACAAUGGGAUUGCAUGCAAUGGAGGUUGCAUGACGAUCGUACGAGAGCAGCAUGUUUCGAUGAUCCGACUCGUAUUAUAUUCGGUACUCCUUUUCUCGACUUACCCCUGCCUCCACUCAUUGCGAUUCCCAUCCUCCCUUUCUCCCAUGUGCAUGCAUUCCUUACGUCACGUUACUAUUACUUGAAGUAACUUACCUCUACUGUUUCGUUCAUACUACUAUUACUAGCCGCCUUGCGAUUGCUACAGCUAACGUAUUGCAUGUGUCACCUAAUAUUUUAGCCUCAUUAAAUUUUGCUCUAUAUAACUACUUGAAGUUC